GGUAAGACGAGGGAUCCUAGCGUUGUUCGGAAUUAUUGGGCGUAAAGNGGGUGUAGGUGGCUAUGUAAGUCAAGUGUGAAAGCCUGGNGNNCNACCCCAGAAGUGCAUUUGAUACUGCGUAGNUNGNGUGCUAGAGAGGAUAGUAGAAUUGUUGGUGUAGUGGUGAAAUACGUAGAUAUC
rnacentral:rRNA from 1 species